GCGCGAUGCGAGCCGGGAGCCGCGGGAAGACGGUGGGUGCAAGCGUGGUUCGGAUUGAGUGGGCGUAGAGCGGGUGUAGGUGGCUCUGUAAGUCAGGAGUUAAAGCACCGAGCUUAACUUGGGAAGUGCUUUUGAUACUGCAGAGCUUGAAUGUGGGAGAGGAUCGUGGAAUUCCUGGUGUAGUGGUGAAAUACGUAGAUAUCAGGAGGAACACCGGUGGCGAAGGCGGCGAUCUGGCCCAACAUUGACACUGAGACCCAAAAGCGUGGGGAUCAAACAGGAUUAGAUACCCGGGUAGUC
rnacentral:rRNA from 1 species